UAUAUAUAAGUGUUUGAUACACAUGAGCUUUUGAUGCUUAUAGUUGGUAGUUUAAUUCUACCAUAUAUAG
rnacentral:tRNA from 1 species